ACAAUGAUGAUGUCACUGAUUCUACUGCUGGCCACCCUGGGGCUCCUUGUUCAGGAUUCAUCAGGAGAAAUCAUCCUGACUCAGUCUCCUGGAUCUCAGUCUGUUGUUCCAGGACAGACUGUCUCUCUCAGAUGUAAAGCCAGUUCACUUAUAGGUGAUGACAUUAACUGGUACCUUCAGAAAGCUGGAGAAGCUCCAAAACUCCUCAUUUAUGAUACUACAGCUCGUCAGCCUGGAGUUUCAGAUCGUUUCAGUGCAACAGCCCAACAGACUGACUUCACUUUGACCAUCAGAGGAGUCCAGACUGAAGAUGCAGGAGUUUAUUACUGUCAGCAGCGUAACAGCUUCCCACUCACACAGUGAUACAACGUCGUACAAAAACCUCUCGCAGCUGGAGAGGAACUGAUUCAACAGCUGCACAGAAAAUUAAACAUAAGACAUGACAAAAAUA